AAAAGGGGGAGUAGUUACGCAUUAAUUGAUAUGUUCCAAAACUGAAACCACGCCUUUUAUCUCGCUUUUAUCUGUUAAGUUAAAAGUUGUUACUUUUAAGUUGUUUUACGAUGGAGACUAAGUUAGUUGAAACUAAAAUAAAUUUCAUAAGUAAGGAUAAGUUAAGAGUGCAAUUUUAACUUAGCCUUAUGAGACUCAGGGGGAGAGCUUGCAAACCUCUCAC
rnacentral:lncRNA from 1 species